GACGAACGCUGGCGGCGUGCCUAAUACAUGCAAGUAGAACGCAGUUGCGAACGGGUGAGUAACGUGUAGGUAACUUCCUCAACGCGGGGGAUAACUAUUGGCAACGCUUGGUAAUACCUCAUACUGUGUGAGGCACCUGCUUUGUAUUAGGUAGUUGGUGGGGUAACGGCUCACCAAGGCGACGGUACAUAGCCGACCUGAGAGGGUGGUCGGCAACACUGUGACAGAGAAACGGCCCCGACUCCUACGGGAGGCAGCAGUAGGGAAUCUUCGGGAAUGGAAGGAAGUCUGACCGAGGAACGCCGAGUGAGUGAAGAAGGUGUUCGGAUAGUAAAGCUCUGUUGUUAGAGAAGCGGUAACUAACCAGAAAGGGACGGCUAACUACGUGCCAGCAGCCGCGGUAAUUC
rnacentral:rRNA from 1 species